UGGGAAAAUAAGACGGAUCUAAAAUAGUGUGCGAAGACCUUGCUUGAAUACAGCAGAUGGAGCUGCCUGCCCUGAUGUGGAGCAAACCACAACCUUCUGAAGGCAGAUGGCCCCUGCACACUUUUUGCCUUUUAAAUAGAAGUGACAUAGCCCACAUCCUGCACACUUCCAAGAUAAGGUAAGCAAGAGUGUAUUCUUAAACAGAGAAAAGAAGAACUGAAAGGCAGAAUGAUGAAAAAUUCAAGGAGACUAUGACCUCUUUGGGGUAAACUAAUUUUAAGGAGAGAUUUACGAGAUGAAACAUGCUUAAGUUUUCAUCUGGAAUAUUAUGUUAAAUUUUGUUACAUAAUAUUGUAUUACCUUGGACAGUUUUUUGCAAACUACCGUGUUCUUCUUAUUUACCUUUGACUUAAACCUAUGUAGCUCUGUAGAUUUCUUUGGUGACAUUUUACACUGUGUAGAUUACGUCAGCACCCAGCAUUUGCUUUCUCUG